rnacentral:tRNA from 1 species
GCGGAUAUGGUCAAAUGGUAAAAUNUCU